CCUACGGGAGGCAGCAGUGAGGAAUAUUGGACAAUGGGCGCAAGCCUGAUCCAGCCAUGCCGCGUGCAGGAAGACGGUCCUAUGGAUUGUAAACUGCUUUUGUACAGGAAGAAACACUCCCUCGUGAGGGAGCUUGACGGUACUGUAAGAAUAAGGAUCGGCUAACUCCGUGCCAGCAGCCGCGGUAAUACGGAGGAUCCAAGCGUUAUCCGGAAUCAUUGGGUUUAAAGGGUCCGUAGGCGGUUUAAUAAGUCAGUGGUGAAAUCUGGUCGCUCAACGAUCAAACGGCCAUUGAUACUGUUAGACUUGAAUUAUUAGGAAGUAACUAGAAUAUGUAGUGUAGCGGUGAAAUGCUUAGAUAUUACAUGGAAUACCAAUUGCGAAGGCAGGUUACUACUAAUGGAUUGACGCUGAUGGACGAAAGCGUGGGGAGCGAACAGGAUUAGAUACCCUGGUAGUCCACGCCGUAAACGAUGGAUACUAGCUGUUGGGCGCAAGUUCAGUGGCUAAGCGAAAGUGAUAAGUAUCCCACCUGGGGAGUACGUUCGCAAGAAUGAAACUCAAAGGAUUGACGG
rnacentral:rRNA from 1 species